rnacentral:rRNA from 1 species
GAUGAACGCUGGCGGCGUGCCUAAUACAUGCAAGUCGAGCGAACAGACGAGGAGCUUGCUCCUCUGACGUUAGCGGCGGACGGGUGAGUAACACGUGGAUAACCUACCUAUAAGACUGGGAUAACUUCGGGAAACCGGAGCUAAUACCGGAUAAUAUAUUGAACCGCAUGGUUCAAUAGUGAAAGACGGUUUUGCUGUCACUUAUAGAUGGAUCCGCGCCGUAUUAGCUAGUUGGUAAGGUAACGGCUUACCAAGGCAACGAUGCGUAGCCGACCUGAGAGGGGGAUCGGCCACCCUGGAACUUGGACACGGUCCAGACUCCUACGGGAGGCAGCAGACGGGAAUCGUCCGCAAUGGGCGAAAGCCUGACGGAGCAACGCCGCGUGAGUGAUGAAGGUCUUCGGAUCGUAAAACUCUGUUAUGAGGGAAGAACAAAUGUGUAAGUAACCAUGCACGUCUUGACGGUACCUAAUCAGAAAGCCACGGCUAACUACGUG